UACAGAGGGUGCAAGCAUUAAUCGGAAUUACUGGGCGUAAAGGGCAUGUAGGUUGUUUGGUAAGUUAGGUGUGAAAGAAUCGGGCUCAACCUGAUAAAGCAUCUAAUACUGCCAGACUAGAGUGCGGUAGGGGAUGAUGGAAUUUUCUGUGUAGCGGUAAAAUGCUUAGAGAUUGAAAGGAACAUCGGAGGCGAAGGCGAUCGUCUGGACCGUAACUGACACUGAAAUGCGAAAGCGUGGGUAGCAAACAGG
rnacentral:rRNA from 1 species